UACGGGGGGGGCAAGCGUUGUUCGGAAUUACUGGGCGUAAAGGGCGCGUAGGCGGCCAUGCGUGUCUUCCGUGAAAUACCUCGGCUUAACUGAGGACGUGCGGAAGAAACUGCAAGGCUCGAGUCCGGGAGAGGGGGGUGGAAUUCCCAGUGUAGCGGUGAAAUGCGUAGAUAUUGGGAGGAACACCGGUGGCGAAGGCGGCCCCCUGGACCGGUACUGACGCUGAGGCGCGAAAGCGUGGGUAGCAAACGGG
rnacentral:rRNA from 1 species